rnacentral:rRNA from 1 species
CAGUCGAACGGGAAUUACUUUAUUGAAACUUCGGUCGAUUUAAUUUAAUUCUAGUGGCGGACGGGUGAGUAACGCGUGGGUAACCUGCCUUAUACAGGGGGAUAACAGUCAGAAAUGGCUGCUAAUACCGCAUAAGCGCACAGAGCUGCAUGGCUCGGUGUGAAAAACUCCGGUGGUAUAAGAUGGACCCGCGUUGGAUUAGCUUGUUGGUGGGGUAACGGCCCACCAAGGCGACGAUCCAUAGCCGGCCUGAGAGGGUGAACGGCCACAUUGGGACUGAGACACGGCCCAGACUCCUACGGGAGGCAGCAGUGGGGAAUAUUGCACAAUGGGGGAAACCCUGAUGCAGCGACGCCGCGUGAAGGAAGAAGUAUCUCGGUAUGUAAACUUCUAUCAGCAGGGAAGAUAGUGACGGUACCUGACUAAGAAGCCCCGGCUAACUACGUGCCAGCAGCCGCGGUAAUACGUAGGGGGCAAGCGUUAUCCGGAUUUACUGGGUGUAAAGGGAGCGUAGACGGUGUGGCAAGUCUGAUGUGAAAGGCAUGGGCUCAACCUGUGGACUGCAUUGGAAACUGUCAUACUUGAGUGCCGGAGGGGUAAGCGGAAUUCCUAGUGUAGCGGUGAAAUGCGUAGAUAUUAGGAGGAACACCAGUGGCGAAGGCGGCUUACUGGACGGUAACUGACGUUGA